rnacentral:rRNA from 1 species
GAUGAACGCUAGCGGCAGGCCUAACACAUGCAAGUCGAGGGGGAGGUUACUUUCGGGUAACUGAGACCGGCGUACGGGUGCGUAACGCGUAUACAAUCUGCCUUUCACUGGGGGAUAGCCCGAAGAAAUUUGGAUUAAUACCCCAUAGUAUAGUAGUGUGGCAUCACACAACUAUUAAAGCCUUGGUGGUGAAAGAUGAGUAUGCGUUCUAUUAGCUAGUUGGAGAGGUAACGGCUCCCCAAGGCGAUGAUAGAUAGGGGUUCUGAGAGGGAUGUCCCCCACACUGGUACUGAGAUACGGACCAGACUCCUACGGGAGGCAGCAGUGAGGAAUAUUGGACAAUGGUCGGAAGACUGAUCCAGCCAUGCCGCGUGCAGGAUGAAGGUCUUAUGGAUUGUAAACUGCUUUUGUAAGGGAAGAAUAAGGACUACGUGUAGUUUGAUGACGGUACCUUAUGAAUAAGCAUCGGCUAACUCCGUGCCAGCAGCCGCGGUAAUACGGAGGAUGCGAGCGUUAUCCGGAAUCAUUGGGUUUAAAGGGUCUGUAGGCGGGCUUGUAAGUCAGAGGUGAAAGCGCUCAGCUCAACUGAGCAACUGCCUUUGAAACUGUUGGUCUUGAAUGGUUGUGAAGUAGUUGGAAUGUGUAGUGUAGCGGUGAAAUGCUUAGAUAUUACACAGAACACCGAUAGCGAAGGCAUAUUACUAACAAUUAAUUGACGCUGAUGGACGAAAGCGUGGGGAGCGAACAGG